rnacentral:misc_RNA from 1 species
AACGCAACUUGCGCCGAGCAAUCGGCAUGUCUGUCUGAGUGUGUGUUUAUCCAUACGAUAUAUUUUCGUGAUGUGGUGUGAGUGUGGGUGAUGGGGUGGGACAGGUAUGGGGUUAAUCUCGUACUUGUCACAUCUGGCGUCAUGACCCGCACUGCACUGAAUGGCAGCAAGAAGGACGGAGUAUGUCUAGUUCAGGUGCCAAGCAUCCCAGAACGAAAACAUUCUCUGCAUCCUAUCCUAUGCAUUAUCACUGCACCUCAGAUCAGUCAGGAUUACCCGCUGAACUUAA